rnacentral:lncRNA from 1 species
UUCAAUAAGGACCGUUGGAUCAAAACCGACGGCUUAGAUUAAAUUAUCUUCACCCCGAACCGGUACACAACCCAGGCCGUCGGAUGAAGAUCCUACGGUCAAUACACUACGUGCACUAGCGGCCAUACGAUCCUAGAUCUACGGCAGUGGACGAGUCCGAGCGAAACGUUACCUUGACCUAAAUCCGGCGCGCACAUCAGGCGAUCAACGACCAUCGUUGCGAGAUUGUCUCCCUCAGCUGGUUGUCCACGGAGACGCAGGUGCCCGUGCGGCGGCGCCCUUGCCGGAGAAUUCCCAAACCGAGGCCAUCGUGGACUGAAGAUCUCCCAUCUCUCGUACUGGAGCUGCGGCCAUCCCCGCCGUGCCUCGGUGCAGUCCCCCGGCUGGUUCUCGAGGUCUGGACGACGACGCCCAAGCGAUUCCAGGCGGCGACAACCUCUCUUUCUCUCACUACCUCUGACCUAUCUGCUUGCUUCUAGCGGGAUGCUCAUGGGUUUCAUCUGGCGACCCAUCUUGAGGUCAAUGGAUGGCGGGGCCUCGGGUUUUAUACCCCCAGACCAGGCGGAUAAGGAUUUAGCCAGUGAUCGAUCUCCGAUGAUUAAGGACGGUUUAGGUGCGAUUUGGUCGGAGAUCGGCCUCAGGUAGAAGAAGGCCCUGUCGGGUUGUGCCCAAUAGCAGAGGCGGAACGGACCUGGAAUCAGGCUGGCGCAUGGCUUGGAAGAUUCGCGCAGUGGUUUUGUCAAUGAAGCCGCGCACGCAGGAAGCGGAGUUCGUUGCGCUCCCCCCGGUGUUCAGUUUUAGGAGGAAGACGACUUACAGCAUGGGCCCGCCAGACGGUGAACGGGAGGUCACGAUUACGGAGCGGGGACGCUGGUGGUGAGGGCCCACGCGAUAGUGUCACAUCAAGAGCAGGCGCACGCGCGACAUUAGAUCGGGUGGCCCGUGCAGUGCCAGCGUUAGGUGGGUUGGAAGGUGAGCUGAGCUGGGCCAAAAGUAGGGAGCUCGGCCUAAGCGAGUUUUCUUUUUUUUUUCUUUUCUAUUUCUAUUUUAUUGCAAACUACAAGUUCAAACUUCAUUCAAAUUUUACUUAGAUCUGAUUUAUAGAUCAUAUGAAAUCAUUCACAUAAUUUCCAGCAUGAAUGCAAAAGUGGAAUAUUUAUUUAUUAUCUUAUUUUAUUGUUUAUGCUUUUAUAUGUAAAAUUGGUGAAAGAAACAUUUAUUAAAUUCAAUAGGAAAACUCCAUAUUAUUUAUUUUUCUGAGAUUUGAAAUUAUAAUCUAUAUUUUAUAAGUUAAAUUUAAAUCUGAGUCAUUAAACCCUAAUAUAUAUUUUUUUUAUUUGUUUAAUCAUUUGGAAGGCUAAAUCAUACACUAGAUUCAAUCCCAUUAUUACUCCUCAAAGAGAACAAAGUUACUUCCUAUUUUCUCAAAAUGUAUUAUAGGGUUUACAAAUCCUACCCCCCUUAACAGAAAUCUCGACCUCGAGAUUUGUGAGAAAAGGGACACAGAAGGAUUGGCCAGCUAUUAGUUUAUAUUUGGUUCAAAAAUUCAGAGUCUCAUUUUUAUUAGUCAAUAGUGGGUGAUUAGGAGAGUAUAGUUAUUAUUUAUGUGGGAUAUAAGCUGGACAGGUUGAGGUAAGGAAGAUUAUGGCAAGGAAAGAACUUUAUCCAAAAUGUUUAAGUCUUGAUUCAUCUCGAGAUUCGCUUGACUGUUAUAUCCUCCCUUGACGAUGUUGGUCUUUUCUUCUCCGGUCUUGGUCUCAUUGACUCGCAGUGAGUGCAUAUCAUUGUUGUUGGGGAAUAUGGUUAAGAUAGAUUUGGAUGAGAUAGGCUACAUGAUGUAGGUCUAAAGCUCAUUUGAUGGGAAUAAACAGAUUAUGUAAUCCAUCAUGACACUAUUGGUUGGGUUAGCUCUUACGUUCACGGUUGAGUUGGUCUAAUGCACUAAUUUUAGGUUUAAGUGCAUGAGGGGAGAACAAGAUUUAUAGGAGUAGGAUCUAGUUUAUUUUACUAGUGUUAACUUGUUAAGUGACUGUCCUUAGGUUAUCUCAACUUAAGGUUAGACUUCAUCAGGUUAGAUUAACCAAUUAGGUUGGAUCAGAUCUAGAAUAAAUCGAUAUGAAUAUUUUAGACUAGAUAAGAUCUAAAUAAAUUUUUGGAUUAGCUCAUGGUUGUUAUUCUAGAGUGGGGUAAAUAUGCUAAUUAGGGCAAGAUGAAUCCAUAAGGAUAGGGUAGAAUCUUUUGAGGUCAGUUAGAUCUAUUAGGAUAAGAUAAAAUCUUUUCAAGGUAAGAUGAAUCUAUUAAGGUAAAAGAGAGUCUUUUUUAAGAUAAGAUGUUUCUAUUAAGCUUAAUAUAUUUCAGUGGAGAUAAUCUAAGUUGGAUAGUUAUUUUAUCAACAUUUUUUACUAUAUAUAUUUAUAGAUGCAAUUGUGGACGUUAUUCCACAACUCAUCACACUCAAUCAAAGAUCCAAAUCAGACAAAUAUCAUAAGAACAAGCAUUCAAGCAUAUGGAUACUUAUAGAAAUAGUUUUGUUUUGGUUCCUAAGAUGGGGUCUCUUAUUCCUAAAGGUCAUUUUAGGUAUAGGAUUUCAAAGUGUGAAAUCCACAUUUGUCUUUAGAAAGAAAAGGUAAGAGUAAUCAGAGUAAAGCGGAAAUAGAUGAGAAAAGAUUAAGAAAAGUUUAGAAAGAAUCAGAGUAGCAAAGGUAAGUAGAUAAUGGUUGUCCAGUUCUAUCUAGGUUUCGUCCUACAGUCAACAUUCCUCUGAUACCACUUCUGUCACACCCGAGUUUUAGGGGCACCAAGACCCAGGCGCGAACAUAAUCACCAGGUGUGCUAGGACCAAGUCUCACACAUAUGAUGAAUCAUGGCACAAGAUCGAAUGUCACGUCUUUACUAUAUAUUAGGAGUUCUAUACAAAAUAAAUAAAUAAUUACAUUAUAAGGAGACAACGGUCCAGCAACCCAAAGUUGACUGGGAGACGACGGCCUAGACCUCUCGCGAACUCGCCACAACAUCCUCCAUGCGCUUCAUCCUGCGGUACCUGUUCUUGACCUGUGGUGGGGUGUGAGACAGCAAGAGUGAGCUCACAUACGUUCAUCGCUCAACAAGUUGUGGGGAAUAAUGUGCAUGAACUCGCCAAAGGUGGGAGCUCACGUGAAGUGUAAGGCUUACCAAAGAGGAUGGUUAGAGCUGAGCAUUGCUUUUAAAGUUGGUCAAAAUUUUAUUAGCAGUUACUAAGUAUAAGUAAAUACCAACCCAAUUAAGUAGUAGAACAGAAGUAACAACAUCACCUGCGAUGCAAUGCAUAUGAAAAAUUGAAUUUAAGUUCCAUAAAUUAAUCAUGUGAGGGUCCGAGCUGCUCAUGACCGUGAACACGGCUAGUAUACCAGUUUUACACUCUGCAGAGGUUGCGCAUCUUUACCCACAAGUCAUGCUACCCAUCUGCCAAGGGAUCGCGACUUCCCAUACACCUCUACCGAGGAGGCGAGGCAGCGUAACACUACGAGGCCUUUACAAAGUUCCACUAGCUUCAGAAAACCCGCUACAGUUUAUAGGAAGCUCCAAUGCAGGGUUCUUGUCUGACCGCCAUCGCAGCAAAAUCAACCAAGGACCUCCCUACACUGACCACUCCCCUACUGCCCUUGCCCCUUUCGGGUAAGGUAGUCCUCCACUAGCUUUCCUAAUUAAUCAGCCAAGGGCGUCCAUAAACCCUUGUGGUAGCACUGUUUUCCUGGGUGGUCGCUCCAUGUUCCAAUUAACAUAAUGAUCUUAUCAUGAAUAGUGAUAAUAAAUAGAUAAUAAAAGUGUGAUCAUGAAUAAUGUAUCUUCAUACCCAAAACCACAUAAAGCACUAGCAAGUACUACCCAAAAAGUUCAGUGGUAAACAAGGUAUAUAGAUAAUCAAACUAGGGUAACCUAUUGGGUCCCAUCAAAAUUAACCUAUGCAGAUCAUUAUGAUUAAUUAGAACAUGAGUGGGUAAAAAGAAGUGAUCAAGGGCACAACUUGCCUGGCACUUGAGAUUCUAGGUACCAACUUGCUCUUCAGAUGACUCGUGACCUCACGCUAGUCGUAGCAAUACAAACAAACAUGGUAUAGGCAAAAUUAACAUCACACCAAACAUAUAUGCAAAAUACAUAUUAAUAAUCUUCAUAUUAAAAUAAGAUCAUAGGAACAAGAAUUAUUAAUUUUGGAGUUAUAGAUUUAAGUUAUGGAUUUCCAAAGAUUCUAGGUGUUUUGUACAAAAUUAAUUAGCAUAUCAAUUUUAAUAUGGCUUUCAUGUCAAAAUAGUGACACAAAAUGAUAAAUAAUAAUAUUACAAAAAUAUAGGAAUUGGAAUGGAUUAAUUUGGACUUCAUAUGAAUUUUCUUAUGAUUUAAACAAAUUCUAGCCUUUAUUUUUGCAUUAAAAAUCAUUUUCUAAAACCUUUUAUCUUAUUUCUUAACUCCUUGGACUCGGCGCCCUAAAAUAGGAAACAGCAGGGACUUUUGCGCAAGAAAUCUGAGACCCAAUCCAUAGUCAUAGGUGGACGGCGGGUUAAAUCACCAAGACUCCGAGGACUCAUUAGGAAGUUUGCCUCGGCGAAGGGGUAUGGUUCAAUAAGGACCGUUGGAUCAAAACCGGCGGCUUAGAUUAAAUUAUCUUCACCCCGAACCGGUACACAACCCAGGCCAUCGGAUGAAGAUCCUACGAUAAAUACACUACGUGCACUAGCGGCCAUACGAUCCUAGAUCUACGGCAGUGGACGAGUCCGAGCGAAACGUUACCUUGACCUAAAUCCGGCGCGCACAUCAGGCGAUCAACGGCCAUCGUCGCGGGAUUGUCUCCCUCAGCUGGUUGUCCACGGCGACGUAGGUGCCCGUGUGGCGGCGCCCUUGCCGGAGAAUUCCCAAACCGAGGCCAUCGUGGACUGAAGAUCUCCCAUCUCUCGUACUGGAGCUGCGGCCAUCCCCG